AAAUUGAAGAGUUUGAUCAUGGCUCAGAUUGAACGCUGGCGGCAGGCCUAACACAUGCAAGUCGAGCGGAAACGAGUUAACUGAACCUUCGGGGAACGUUAACGGCGUCGAGCGGCGGACGGGUGAGUAAUGCCUGGGAAAUUGCCCUGAUGUGGGGGAUAACCAUUGGAAACGAUGGCUAAUACCGCAUAAUAGCUUCGGCUCAAAGAGGGGGACCUUCGGGCCUCUCGCGUCAGGAUAUGCCCAGGUGGGAUUAGCUAGUUGGUGAGGUAAUGG
rnacentral:ncRNA from 1 species